GUGAAAUUAACAUUGACUGAAAUAUGAAAAUGCAGAGAAGAAAGGGUUUGAAGGAAAAAUUGGGGAGCUCCAUUUUAAAUGGUAGAGCUGAUAGAGAUGCCCAAAAAGGGAAGAUUUGAGAUACCGACACUAGGGAGAGAGGUCAAGGGCAGAGGUGCAGACUUAAAGUGAUACUGAGAAUGGUGAGGAGGGUGAGAUGGUAGAGGGAAAGAUGGCAAUGGCUUAAAACUCAUUAUGAAGGUGAACUCUACAGUCAAAGGAGAACUUACAUGAAAAAGAUUGGAAGAGCAC